GAUAGUAUGGCUGAAGUUUAAGCGAUAAAUUGUAAAUUUAUUUAUAAAAAUAAUUUUUUUGCUAUUA
rnacentral:tRNA from 1 species